rnacentral:misc_RNA from 1 species
ACAAACUUGGUCAUUUAGAGGAAGUAAAAGUCGUAACAAGGUUUCCGUAGGUGAACCUGCGGAAGGAUCAUUAACAAUUGUCCACGAUAAUGGAUAAUUUAUCCAUAUCCACCUUGUGUGAAUCAUUGACGUGUUUAUUGGCAGGUUAUCUAAAAAGAUGUGAGUAGUCCGCUGCUCAACCUGCCAAUUUUAUUUUGUAUAAACAUGGCUAAACAUUAUUUGUCUGAAAAUAUAUUAUUUUUAAUAAAAACAACUUUCAACAACGGAUCUCUUGGCUCUCGCAUCGAUGAAGAACGCAGC